GUGCCAGCCGCCGCGGUAACACCGGCAGCCCGAGUGAUGGCCGAUCUUAUUGGGCCUAAAGCGUCCGUAGCUGGCCGCGCAAGUCCGUCGGGAAAUCCAUCAGCCCAACUGAUGGGCGUCCGGCGGAAACCGCACGGCUUGAGACCGGAAGGCUCGAGAGGUACGUCCGGGGUAGGAGUGAAAUCCCGUAAUCCCGAACGGACCACCGAUGGCGAAAGCAUCUCGAGAGAACGGAUCCGAUAGUGAGGGACGAAAGCUAGGGUCUCGAACCGGAUUAGAAACCCGGGUAGUCC
rnacentral:rRNA from 1 species